AAUAUUGGACAAUGGGCGCAAGCCUGAUCCAGCCAUACCGCGUGGGUGAAGAAGGCCUUCGGGUUGUCCAGCCCUUUUGUUGGGAAGGAAAUCCAGCUGGCGAAUACCCGGUUGGGAUGACGGUACCCAAAGAAUAAGCACCGGCUAACUUCGUGCCAGCAGCCGCGGUAAUCCGAAGGGUGCAAGCUUUAUCCGGAUUUACUGGGCGUAUAGCGUGCGUAGGUGGUCGUUUAAGUCCGUUGGGAAAGACCGGGGCUCAACCUGGGAACUGCAGUGGAUACUGGGCGACUAGAAUGUGGUAGAGGGUAGCGGAAUUCCUGGUGUAGCAGUGAAAUACGUAGAGAUCAGGAGGAACAUCCAUGGCGAAGGCAGCUACCUGGACCAACAUUGAGACUGAGGCGCGAAAGCGUGGGGAGCAAA
rnacentral:rRNA from 1 species